rnacentral:piRNA from 1 species
CGCCAUGGUACUUGGAGACUAGCCA